rnacentral:rRNA from 1 species
GACGAACGCUGGCGGCGUGCUUAACACAUGCAAGUCGAACGGAAAGGCCCUGCUUUUGUGGGUUGCUCGAUUGGCGAACGGGGGAGUAACACGUGAGUAACCUGCCCUUGACUUUGGGAUAACUUCAGGAAACUGGGGCUAAUACCGGAUAGGAGCUCCUGCUGCAUGGUGGGGGUUGGAAAGUUUCGGCGUUUGGGGAUGGACUCGCGGCUUAUCAGCUUGUUGGUUGGGUAGUGGCGUACCAAGGCUUUGACGGGUAGCCGGCAUGAGAGGGUGACCGGCGACAUUGGGACUGAGGUACGGCCCAGAAUCGUACGGGAGGCAGCAGUGGGGAAUAUUGCACAAUGGGCGGAAGCCUGAUGCAGCAACGCCGCGUGCGGGAUGCCGGCCUACGGGUUGUAAACAGAUUUCGACUGUGACGAAGAGAGCGUGACGGUAAUGGGUCAAGAAGCACCGGCUAACUACGUG